CACACCGCCCGUCGCUACUACCGAUUGAAUGGCUAAGUGAGGCUUUCGGACUGGCUUAGGGAGAGUGGCAACACUCACCCAGAGCCGGAAAGUUGUCCAAACUUGGUCAUUUAGAGGAAGUAAAAGUCGUAACAAGGUUUCCGUAGGUGAACCUGCGGAAGGAUCAUUACAGAGUUCAUGCCCUAACGGGUAGACCUCCCACCCUUGUGUAUUUAUACCAUGUUGCUUUGGCGAGCCGAGAAGCUUCGGCCCAUCCUUGGACUUUCGGGUCUUUGUGUGCUCGCCAGAGGAAAACUAAACUCUGAAUAUUUUUGUCGUCUGAGUACUAUAUCAAUAGUUAAAACUUUCAACAACGGAUCUCUUGGUUCUGGCAUCGAUGAAGAACGCAGCGAAAUGCGAUAAGUAAUGUGAAUUGCAGAAUUCAGUGAAUCAUCGAAUCUUUGAACGCACAUUGCGCCCCUUGGUAUUCCGGGGGGCAUGCCUGUUCGAGCGUCAUUUCAACCCUCAAGCUCUGCUUGGUAUUGGACUUCUGCCAGUAAUGGCAAGUUCUAAAAACAGUGGCGGUGCCGUUGGGUCCUGAGCGUAGUAAUACUUCUCGCUACUGGAUUCCCGCGUGCUUCCUGCCAAUAACCCCAAAUUUUUUAGGUUGACCUCGGAUCAGGUAGGGAUACCCGCUGAACUUAAGCAUAUCAAUAAGCGGAGGAAAAGAAACCAACAGGGAUUACCUCAGUAACGGCGAGUGAAGCGGUAAAAGCUCAAAUUUGAAAUCUGGCUCUUUCAGGGUCCGAGUUGUAAUUUGUAGAAGAUGUUUCGGGUGUGGUCCUAGUCUAAGUUCCCUGGAACUGGACAUCAUAGAGGGUGAGAAUCCCGUAUGUGACUGGGUACCUACGUCCAUGUGAAACUCUUUCGACGAGUCGAGUUGUUUGGGAAUGCAGCUCAAAAUGGGUGGUAAAUUUCAUCUAAAGCUAAAUAUUGGCCAGAGACCGAUAGCGCACAAGUAGAGUGAUCGAAAGAUGAAAAGCACUUUGGAAAGAGAGUUAAACAGUACGUGAAAUUGUUGAAAGGGAAGCGCUUGCAAUCAGACUUGCGCCUAGUUGAUCAUCCGGGCUUCUGCCCGGUGCACUCGAUUAGGCUCAGGCCAGCAUCAGUUUGGGUGGUUGGAUAAAGGCCUUGGGAAUGUGACCCCUUUCGGGGGGUGUUAUAGCCCAAGGUGCAAUGCAGCCUACCUGGACUGAGGACCGCGCUUCGGCUAGGAUGCUGGCGUAAUGGUUGUAAGCGACCCGUCUUGAAACACGGACCAAGGAGUCUAACAUCUAUGCGAGUAUUUGGGUGUUAAACCCAUAUGCGUAAUGAAAGUGAACGGAGGUGAGAACCCUUAAGGGUGCAUCAUCGACCGAUCCUGAUGUCUUCGGAUGGAUUUGAGUAAGAGCAUAGCUGUUGGGACCCGAAAGAUGGUGAACUAUGCGUGAAUAGGGUGAAGCCAGAGGAAACUCUGGUGGAGGCUCGCAGCGGUUCUGACGUGCAAAUCGAUCGUCAAAUUUGCGUAUAGGGGCGAAAGACUAAUCGAACC
rnacentral:rRNA from 1 species